CUUCUAUCUGGAAUUCCCUUUUCUCCCUGUCCAACUGGCUAACUUCAAUUUAGUCUUUAAAUACCAUCUGUCCAGUGAACGUCAAGGUUGAAGUGUCCACUGACCAAUCCCCUGUAGACAGUCCCCAUCCCACAGACCUGGACACCCGUAAAGUCCCUGGAACAGCCUUGGAAGACUUGGGUAAGAAUGGGGCUUAAGGGAAGCCCUAUCUGGGGAAGUGAUGGAGUCACAAGUAUGCUUAAUGUUACAUAUGUCAAAUAUAUGUUGAAUGGAAUGUUUAAAAUUUCUUAAUAUUGCUGCAUGAUUCAAGAGACAAUGGGUGAGUGUACUCCUACAUGACUAAAAUUUGGUGGGUUUUAAACCUCUUUUGAUCACCCUCUUGCACCAAAGACUCACAGACGAAACAUAAACAAAAAUUUUUGAAAAAUACUCAUCUUUAACAUGUGAAAUGUAUUCUGGCAUUGUGUAGCUUAUUGUAGUCAAUACCACUUUUUAAAAAUACUGAUCAAACCCUAGAAAUGUAUCAUCUUAUACAUAGUUUGAAAGACCCCAAACUGAACAAUAUUUGUUGACAAAUGCUUGCAAACAUCGUCAAAGAAUCAAAGUAUUAACCAAAACUGCACCCAAAGUUUAGUUAGUUUUUUGGCCAUUUCCACUUUCAUGUUGUUUCUCUCCAUUUUCAGUAACUUAUUUGCCCAAGUAGGGGCAGAAAUUCCUGUCUGAAAGUAGGAUGACAUCAGGUCAAAACCACAGGAUGUGUGCUGAGACAGAAACCAGAACAGCCAGCCAUCCGGGAGUUGGGACUGUCUUAGCCAAUUUUAGAUAUUUGGUCACCUUAUCUGAGACUACGUGUAAACUCACCUAUUUCAGUUUCUCAGAAGGCAGCUCUUACUGUGUAAUUCAAAAAGAGUUUUUUCUGCAUUCUUUAAUGGUUUGGGUUAAUUUUAAACAAGGGUUUAUGAAAUGUGAGCUGGUGCCAGAAAAAUGUGGAUUAAUUUUUGCUGCUUCCCUAGAGAAAGUAGUGGUGUUUUUAAUAAUAGAUUCUAGUAAAGUGUCUACAUAUUUUUUUGAGGACUUAAAAGACAAAGCAAAAUAUGGGUUGAAUAGAGGUUUUUCAGUGUGUGUGUAGACUAAAUUGCACAUGGCCUGAAUGAGAAAAAAUGUUAGUAGAGACUUUUUUUGCAACAGUUCACUAUUUAGGUGACCUCAAAAGAAAAGGAAUUGAUUAUAUGGAUAUUGUAUCAUUGAGGAUUAAUGCUAUCUGCAUGUGACAGAAAUCCAAAAUAGUGGGGAAUAAUGGUCUUAUCUCAACUAAGAUAGUAUUUAGCUCUCUUGUAAAAGAGGUAGAUAGUCCAGAACCAGCAUGGCUCCAUGAUGACAAAGGACCAGGAUGCCUAUUGUUGCUUACUACUGGUGUUUCUGUCGAUGCAUUCAAAUUCUAGAAAUCUGAAAGUAGAAGGGAGGAGACAUUGCAUGCCCCCUCUCUUUAAGGAUAUGUCCAGCAAAUUGCAUACACUACAUCCCCUUAUAGGCUAUUAAACAGAAUAUAAUCAUAUGACUAUAAUUAGCUCCAUGGAAGGUUGGGAGAUGUAAUCUUUAUACCAGGAAACCAUGUACUCAGCUAAACAGUGGAGGGUCUGUUACAUGGGAAGAUGGCAAGGAUAGAUACUAGGAAAACAAGCGGUUUCUCCCACAAGUAUCCAUGGCCUUGGAUAAAAAUAAAAAAUAAUAACAAUAAUAAAAAAACACUUUAAGCUCCAUUUCUGCAGUCUUUGCCUCUCCUUCUCAAUAGUCAGACUUCUUCUUGUUCUUUAAUCUGUGGUUAAAGGGAAUUACAAAGACCUCUAGUCAACUCAGCUUAGUUGAUUACUUUGCCCCUACAUGGCAGAGCCUGCCAUGCUAGGACAGCAUGUGGAUGGCUGGAACUAGAGCCAAUCAAACCCUAACCACAAGGCCAGGAAACAGGGUCUAGCCAGGAAUCAGAAAGAGGGAAAUGAAUGCUGGGGAAGUAAUCAAUAAAUAGCUUAUCACAAUGUCUAAAAGGCAGAUCUAAGUUAACAUGAUCAAAUCAAAAUUCUUGAUUUCUCUCCCAAAUUCCACCUCCAGAUGCACUACCAUCCAUAGUAUUGUUUAAUCCUUGAGCUUCUUUUUCCUUCACUUUUCAUAGACGAUCAGGAUUUGCUACACGUUAUGUGGGGCCCAAUAAAAAAUAAAUUUGCAGGGACCCACAUUGAAAAAUUAUCAAGAAUUUCAAGACAGCAACAGCAGAGCAUUAAACCAACUGUGGAGUCCUUCCAAGGGUGGGGCUUGAUACAACUACACAUGAAGGCACCCAAUAUAUAACUAUCAUGAGAUAAUAUAAAAAAACGUAUAUUGGUCUCUGUCUCCAGUUCCCGGCACACAGCUCCCAAAACUCAUAUAAAUUCCUAAGAGAUAGGAGUACUACAAGCAUCUUUUGUUCUAACGAGGUGACUCUGAGUGUGUUUCUGGAUAGCUCUUGGAUGAGGACUGGUCACUGGAAAGACCAAGUCAUGAUUAGAAGCUUGGGAUUUUCAGCCCUAGUACUGAGGGCCGAGAGGCAAAAGGGCUGAAAGUAGAAUUAAUGAUUGAUCAGUCAUGCCAACAUGAUAAAGCCUCUCUAAAAUCCUAGAAGUAUGGGGUUUAGAGAGCUGCCAAGUGGGUGUACACAUCCAUAUCGGGAGGGUUACAUACUCCAGCUCCAUGAGGACAGAAGCUCCUUCACUAAGGGACCUCCCAGACUUUGCCCCAGAUAGCUCUUGAUCUGAUUGUUCAUUUUCUCAUUUAUCAUAUCCACUAAUAAACCGGUAAAUGUAUGUAAGCAUUUCCCUGAGUUCUGUGAGCCACCCAGGUGCCCUCAAAACAUUUCUUAAUUGGUAAACUUCUCUCCAUCUCCAUGAUGACAUCCUAUAUCUUUGGUCCUGAACUAAAUGGUAUUGGUCUCUUAACAAGUGUACCAGCUUUCACUUUUGUCCCUGCUUCAGUGGUGUUCAAUCAGGGAAGCAGAACCACGAGGAAGGAUACACACACACACACACACACACACACACACAAUACAUAUAUAACACACAUCAAAAUAUAUUUAAAAUAUAUUUAAAUAUAUAAAAUGUAUUUAUAUAAAUAUAUUAAAAUACAUAAGCAUUUGACUCCAAGUGAAAAAAAUAAGAACAAAAAGUACAAUAUAUUGAGCACCAAAUAUACUGUAGACAUUGUAUUACAUAUUUUAUAUUAUGGCACAAUAGAAAAAAUAUAGGUUUUGGAGUCAAGACAAAUCUGGAUUUGAAACCUACUCCCACACUCACUAGCUGCAUGACUUUGACAAGUCAACUAAACUCUAAGUCUUUAUGUUUCCUAAUGCAUAAAUAGGGACAAAAAUAUUUCCUUUCAAAGUUCUUGAGAAGAUUAAGAAAUUAGAAAGGAAUCACAAGGAUACUUACUAGGUUUGAGAGAAGAAUAGAAGACAUCAGUGAGACCCUUACCACAGAGAUAAAAGACUUAAAGAAGAAUCAAUCAGAGAUGAAGAGUACAAUAAAUGAGAUUGGAAACAGGCUUGAUGCAAUGAAUAGCAGGCUGGAAGAAGCAGAGGAAUGAAUUAGUAACCUAGAAGACAAAAUAAUGGAAAAUAAUAAAGAACAAAAGAGAGAAGAAUUAUGCAACAUGAGAAUAGACUUAGAGACCUCAGUCACUCCAUCAAAUGUAAUAAUGUUUGUAUUAUAGGAGUCCAAAAAGAAGAGAGAGAAAAGAAGGCAGAAAAUUUCUUUCAAGUAAUAAUAGCUGAAAAUUUCCCUAGGAGACAGAGAACUACCAUCAAAAUAACACAACAGGCCAACACCAACACAAAAACAAGAAAAAAAUCUUAAAAGCAGCAAAACAAAAGAAGUCCUUAACCUACAAGGGAAAAUCCAUAAAGCUAGCUAGAGAUCUCUGAACAGAAAUUUGUCAAGCUAGAAGACAGUGGCAUUAUAUAUUCAAAGUGCUAAAUGGGAACAAUCUGCAGCCAAGAAUACUCUACCCAAUGAUAGCAAGGCUAUCAUUCAGAAUAGGAGAGAUAAAGAGUGUCCCAGACAAACACAAACUAAAGGAGUUCAUGACCACUACACCAGCCCUGCAAGAAAUUUUUUUUUUUAAUUUUUCUUAAUGUUUACUUAUUUUAGAGAGAGACAGAGUGGGAGCAGGCGAGGGAAGAGAAAGAGGGGAGACAUAGAAUCCAAAGCAGGCACCAGGCUCUGAACUGUCAGCACAGAGUCCAACGUGGGACUCAAACCCAUGAUUGGUGAGAUUAUGAACUGACACUUAACUGACUGAGCCACCCAGGCACCCCAGCCCUGCAAGAAAUAUUAAAGGGGGCUCUUUGAGUGCAAAGGAGAGACCAAAAGUGACAAAGACAAGAACGGAUCAGAGAAAAUCUCCAGAAACAAUGACAAAACAAGUAAUAAAAAUGGCACUAAAUACAUCUAUCAAUAAUUACUUGGAAUAUAAAUGUACUAACUGCUCCAAUCAAAAGACAUAGGGUGUCAGAAUGCAUAGAAAAAACAAGACCCAUCUAAAUGCUAUCUACAAAAGACUGUAGACCUAAAGACACCUACAGGUUGAAAGUGAAGGGUGGAGAAACAUUUAUGAUGCAAAUGAAUGUCAAAAGAAAGCCAGAGUAGCAACACUCAUAUGGGACAAACUAGACGUUUUCGUUCUUGUAUUGUUUUUUUAUCAUGAUUUUGUUUCAGGGUAGUACUGGCUUUAUAGAAUGAUUUUGAAUGUGCUCCCUCUAUUCUAUUAUUUGUAAAAUUUUGAUCAAUAUUAUCAUUAAUUAUUUUUUGAAAUGUUUGGUGGAAUUCACCACUGAAAUCAUGUAGUCUCGGGCUUUGCUGUGCUGGGAGAUUUUUUAUUCCUAAUUCAACUUUCAUUCUUGUUAUUGGUCUAAGAAGAUUCCCUAUUUCUUGGAUUCAAAAUUCAUGAUUCAAUCUUGGUAACUUAUAUGACUUUAGCAAUUAUCUGGAUUUUUUUCCCUAAGUUAUCUGAUUUGUUAGUGCAUAACUUUAUAGUAAUUUAUUAUCACACUAUGUAUUUUUGUGGUAUCUAUUGUAUUGUUUUCUAUUUCCUAUUUUAGUUUUUGAGUCUUCUUGUUUUGUCUUAGUUAAUGUAGUUAAAGUAUUGCCAAUUUUGUUUAUUUUUUUUGGAAAAAAGCAGUCAUUUCUUUCUUUCAAUGUUAGGUUAUUGUUUAUCCUGGUUUCUAUUUUAUUUAUUUCUGAUUUUUCUUUGUAAUUUCCUUCCUCUACUAAAUUUCAGAUAAGUUUCUUCUUUUUCUAGUUUCUUGUGGUGUAAUGUUUAUUUGAACUUUUUUCUUAAUACAGAAUUUAUAGCAUAAAAAAAUUAAAAUAGAAUUAUGAUAUGAUCUAGUAAUUCCACUACUAGGUAUUUACCCAAAGAAAAUAAAAAUACUAACUCAAAAAGGUAUAUGCACCCUUAUAUUUACUACAGCAUUAUUUACAAUAGCCAAGAUAUGGAAGCAACCCAAGUGUCCAUCAAUAGAUGAAUAGAUAAAGAAGUUGUGGUAUAUGUAAAAAUAUGGAAUAUUACUCAGCCAUAAAGAAGAAUGAGAUCUUGCCAUUUGCAACAAUAUGAAGGGAUCUAUAGGGUAUAAUGCCAAGUGCAGUAAGUCAGUCAGAGAAAGACAAAUACCAUAUCAUUUCACUCAUAUAUGGAAUUUUAAGAAACAAAAUAAAUGAACAAACAAAAAAAAGAGACAAACAGGGCAUUGUGGGUGGCUCAGUUGGUUAGGUGUCCGACUUUGGCUCAGGUCAUGAUUUCAUGGUUCGUGGGUUCGAGCCCUGCAUUAGGCUCUGGGCUGACAGCUCAGAGCCUGGAGCCUGCUUCGGAUUCUGUGUCUCCCUCUCUCUCUGCCCCUCUCCCACUCACGCUCUUUCUUUCAAAAAUAAAUAUUUUUUUAAAAAUGAGAGACAAAAAAAUCAGACUCUUAAACACAGAGAAGAAAUGAUGAUUACCAGAGGGGGGUGGGGGGAAUGAGUGAACUAGGUAAAGGGGAUUAAGGGUACACUUACCUUGAUGAGCACUGAGUAAUGUAUAGAGUUGAUGAAUCACUAUACUGCAUACCUAAAACUAACAUAACACUGUAUGUUAACUAUACUGGAAUUAAAAAAUCAAAGGCUUUGAAGAAAAGUUAGGACAUUUGAGUUUUCUUCCACAAAAAAAUGGGUAACUCGAGAUAUUUUUAAAUAGAGGAUUGACACGAUUUAAUUGGGGUGUAGUAAGACCACUCUAGUUUCUGAGUAAAACAUGGAGGGAAGAGAAAAAAAUUUGGAUUUGGCAAAUUCCAAAUGAGGCUUUGUUGGAAAAAUCCAGGACACAGAGAGAGAAAAUGAUGAUCAUAUUUUAAUGUGAAACAUGUGAAUGAAUUUAAAGGAUAUUCAGAGGACAUAAUCAAUAAUAAAUGAAUUUUGGUUCAUGUUGAUUGUGAAGUUUCAGUGGGAUAGCCAGGAGGAGUUACCAAAUACAGAGUAGGCCAUGUGGGACAGAGAAAGAAUUGGGAGUAGAGCUUCAGAUGUGAGAAUCUCGGGCAUACAGAUGGUUUUCAAAUUUAUGAGCUUACUGUGUGCUAAACAAACCUAAUAAAGUUCUGUUCUUUAAAAAAUAUACAGAUAUAUAAUAAAUAUUUAUAUAAAAUAACACAUAUUUCAAAUAUAAAAUAUAAUUUAAAUAUACAAAAUAUAUAUCACAUAUUAAAUACAUAAAAUGUAUUUAUAUAAAUAUAUUAAAAUAUAUACACAUUAUAUAACUAUAUAAAUAUUUACAUAUAGAUACAUAAUAAAUAUAAAGUAUAUAAAUAAAUUCCUAUAUAUGUAUAUAUUAUAUAUACAUGAGUUUGUUAUAGGGCUUUGGCCUCACACAACUAUAGAAGCUGAUAAAACAGUGUAUGUGCCCCACACCCCCCCCCAGGCUCUGGCACUUAAAAGGGACAAUGAAUAUGAAGGAGGAGAAGGAGAUGUGAGAAUCAACUGGAAUCUGGAGGGUAAGCUUCUACACAGCUACAAGGAUGGACUGGAAUCGGAAAGACUGUCAGUCUCUCAUCACUUCCAAUCCUCCAACUUGGAUGAGGGCAUGUGUCCCACAGGAGAAGCUGAUGCCCUUAGUCAUGGGACUGAAUAUGCUCUUGGCCCAGGACUUCGAGAAGCUGAAGGAUAAAAUUUGGCAGGAGCUGAAGGAGCUGUGGGCCAGAUGUUGCCCCAGGCCAGGAGGGUGAGUCAGCAGAUUACAACAAUGUAAAUCUACUGCAAGAGUGCCUGUGCUCUGCUCCCAUCUUCCAAGUGUAAAAACAAUAGGCUACUGCUUCUUUCUACCUUCCAAAUAGUGUACAGAAUUGUACUUGUGGCUGCCUGGGUGGUUCAGCCAGUUAAGCAUCAGACUUGGUUUCAGCUCAGGUCGUAAUCUCACAACUCAUUGGUUCAAGCCCUGCCAUCGGGCUCUGGGCUGACAAUGUGCAGACUACUUUGAUUCUGUCUCUCUCCUCUCUCUCUGCCACCCCCCCACUAAUGCUCUCUGUCUCAAAAAUAAACAUUAAAAAAAAAAAAAAAAACUCAGAGAAAGACAAAUAUCAUAUGACUUCAUUCACAUGAGAAAUUUAAGAUACAAAACAGAUGAACGUAAGGGAAGGGAAGCAAAAAUAAUAUAAAAACAGGGAGGCGAACAAAACAAAAGAUUCUUAAAUAAGGAGAACAAACAGAGGGUUACUGGAGAGGUUGUGGGAGGGGGGAUGGGCUAGAUGGGUAAGGGGCAUUAAGGAAUCUACUCCUGAAAUCAUUGUUGCACUAUAUGCUAACUAGCUUGAAUGUAAAUUAAAAACAAAAAGCAAACAAAAAAAUCUUUUUGUGAGGCUUGACAACUCUGAGCCAUGCAGGGAAGGGAAUUCUGGGAAACUUAAUUCCAGCUUAGCUAAAUUGACACAAUGCAAUCUCUCCAUACUCCUUCAAUUAACUCAACUUGCUGUAUGUAUCAUUUAAAAAUUCAAAUCAGACCUUCUUAAACCCUUCCAAGUGCUUUCCCUUGCAUCUGGAAUAAAACCCAAACCCUUUACCAUGGUCUACAAGGCUACACAAGAUCUGACUCCUCUGUUCUCUGAGCUCAUUUAAUUUUGUAACACUUCCUCCUUGAAUGUCAUUUCAGAGCCCCUGGCCUCCUACCAGUUCCUGAAUCACAGCGAGAUCAUGCCUGUCUGAGGACCUUUGCACCAGCUGGAUCAAUUACUUGCAACACCCUUCCCAUUGAUGGAUCUUCAUAUCACUAGCUCUUUCUUAUUAUUCAGGUUUCAGCUCGAUGUCAUCUCUUUGAUGCAAUUUUGGAGUGGUGGUGGGUCUCUAG
rnacentral:lncRNA from 1 species